rnacentral:misc_RNA from 1 species
GAAAUGCGAUAAGUAAUGUGAAUUGCAGAAUUCAGCGAAUCAUCGAAUCUUUGAACGCACAUUGCGCCUCCGGGUAUUCCUGGAGGCAUGCCUGUUCGAGCGUCGUUUAGACCAUGAGGCUUUGCCUUGCGAUGACACUUGGGUUUUUAGGAAUCCAUCUGUUCAAACAUAUUGGCAUCUGAAGUUUGGCCCAGCACAGCAAAAUGUGUUUUAAGGUUCUAUCUAAAGAUGCCUGUAUUUCUUGAAUGGUUCUGGAAACAGAAUCAAUCAUUUUGGUCGACCUCGGAUCAGGCAAGAUUACCCGCUGAACUUAA